rnacentral:rRNA from 1 species
GACGAACGCUGGCGGCGCGCUUAACACAUGCAAGUCGAACGGAAAGGCCUGCUUUCCCUUGUGGAUUGCGGGUACUCGAGUGGCGAACGGGUGAGUAACACGUGAGUGAUCUGCCCCCAACUUGGGUAUAAGCCUGGGAAACUGGGUCUAAUUCCCGAUAGGACUGCAGGGUGGUGCCUGUGGUGGAAAACGAUUUUCUAGUGGUUGGGGAUGAGCUCGCGGCCUAUCAGCUUGUUGGUGGGGUAAUGGCCUACCAAGGCGGCGACGGGUAGCCGGCCUGGGAGGGUGGACGGCCACAUUGGGACUGAGAUACGGCCCAGACUCCUACGGGAGGCAGCAGUGGGGAAUAUUGCACCAUGGGCGGAAGCCUGAUGCAGCGACGCCGCGUGGGGGAUGACGGCCUUCGGGUUGUAAACUCCUUUCGACCGCGAGGAAGCCACCUGGUUGGAAGGGUGGUGACGGUAGUGGUAGAAGAAGCACCGGCUAACUACGUG